rnacentral:sRNA from 1 species
UUUUUCAUCCUUCCUAGAAAUGGUGUUGGGAUAGGCACUCUCAGAGCCCUUGAGAAGUGGGUGAGCAAGGGGACAUGGCAGCAGCCUAUGCUGAGGGUCCUUGGACCUUAUGCUAGGAUUACCAGCCCAGAGGGAUGCUUCGUACCGCUACACCUGGGAUCGGAGUCUGUUUCUGAUCUACCGACGCAAGGAGCUGCAGAGAAUCAUGGAAGAGCUGGAUUUCAGCCAGCAGGAUAUUGAUGGCCUGGAGGUGGUAGGCAAAGGGCGGCCCUUCUCGGCUGUUACUGUGGAAGACUACACAGUGUUUGAAAGAAGUCAGGGAAGCUCCUCUGAAGAGACAACAUACUUAGGCACACUGGCCAUUUCCUGUGAUGUCUCCAUGCCUAUUCUCGGCCCUUCUCUGCUGUUCUGUGGGAAGCCAGCUUGCUGGAUCAGAGGCAGUAAUCCACAGGACAAGAGGCAGGUUGGGAUUGCUGCUCACUUGACCUUUGAAACCCUGGAAGGUGAGAAAACCUCCUCAGAACUGAGUGUGGUCAAUAACGGCACUGUGGCCAUUUGGUAUGACUGGCGA